GACGAACGCUGGCGGCGUGCUUAACACAUGCAAGUCGAACGAUGAAGCACCAGCUUGCUGGUGUGGAUUAGUGGCGAACGGGUGAGUAACACGUGAGUAACCUGCCCCUCACUCUGGGAUAAGCCUGGGAAACUGGGUCUAAUACUGGAUACGACCGAUCUCCGCAUGGAGUGUUGGUGGAAAGUUUUUGUGGUGGGGGAUGGACUCGCGGCCUAUCAGCUUGUUGGUGGGGUAAUGGCCUACCAAGGCGACGACGGGUAGCCGGCCUGAGAGGGCGACCGGCCCCACUGGGACUGAGACACGGCCCAGACUCCUACGGGAGGCAGCAGUGGGGAAUAUUGCACAAUGGGCGAAAGCCUGAUGCAGCGACGCCGCGUGGGGGAUGACGGCCUUCGGGUUGUAAACCUCUUUCACCAGGGACGAAGCUAACGUGACGGUACCUGGAGAAGAAGCACCGGCUAACUACGUG
rnacentral:rRNA from 1 species